UGACCCAAGACACAUCCCAAAUUAUAGACAAACUUUAUUUGAUGAAAGAUGCUUAAUAUAAUUCAUGAAUCAAUUUAUUGAAUAGUUAACUUCAGACACUAAACAUAACAUUCCAAAGUGCCAUCAACUUUAUGGUAUUACAUGUACACACAGUAUGAAAAAAGGAAAGAUAAGUCCAAGAGAAGAGAAAUUUUGAAUAAAUGUGAAGCUAUAGGAACAUUUUUGUUUGUUGCUCUGUUAAUGCCCACAUUAUAAUCAAUAUGACUAAAAAGUAUAUGCAAAAUUAUUAACAUCAAUAACUACAAAAAUACUACAAGGUAAGCAACCCUGAUAAAUUUUCAUACAUUUUCCAUUCACUAAUAUCUGAUGAAUGAACAAGAGGAGUGAGAUAAAGACCUACAAAUUAGUUACAUAUUACCUGGGCAAUCAAGGAUGAAUGAUUGUCAAUUCAAAACCAAAUCUGUUUUGUGUAGGAGUAGAGUAAAGAACCAGCUGAGAAAAGGUACCAGACAAGUUCUUUCUGUGCUAUGAGAAACCAACAAUGGCACUACAAACAGGGUCUCCAGAUCAGAGUAUCCAGAACCAUUACAAAGGGAUGGGUUGCAUGGGGAGCAGUGAGAGGCCCUGUACUCAUGUUGUUUCGAAGGGGAAAGCAUCCAAUUUUGCAGAACAGGUACCCAGCUUGCACCUCUGACCUUUUUACUUCAUCUGUCCAUUGUUCAUCUGUCUCUACAACACAUAAAUGUUGGGUAACUGCCUCAAAUUAUGUGAACAAUUCACUGAUAAACAAAAUCAAUUGUUGGGAAUCCCUAAAGUAUUGGUAUAAGGGUGCAUGGUUAAAGAUCUAGAGGUUUUGAAAAAAAGCAAAACACAAACAUAAACACAAAAAUAUUUGAGAACAAUUAAAUAGAACAAAAAAUUAGGAUUUAUUAAAAUGUUCUCAUUUGGGGAGCCAUUAGGAUUUUCUAUUCAUUCAGUACCAUGUACCAGCUGCUUACCUAUUCUGCAACUGCAGAAAGCAUCAAGUUUGGUUUUCUCAUCAAUGGGCACCAUUCCUGCCCCAUCAAUGGUCAGUUGUUGAAAGUGAAGCAAAUAGGAUUAAGAUGGGGGCACCUGUAUGAUUUCCUCAUAUACAAAGCACUAAGGGAGGAAGCUUAAUCAAUGAAGGCUUAAUGAGGAAGAGUUUUAUUUUAUUUUAUUUUUCUGGGACACAAGUAGAGGUUUAUUGCAGUAAAAGGGUUAAUUUACAAUGGAAGAGCUUUUUCACACUCCUGUGUACUGGCAGAGCACAGAAAUGAUGUUCCUGUUUGUCUUGCCAUUUCUUGUUUAAAGGAGAAUGUCAUUAGUUACAAAAUGAUUGGGUUGCUUGAUUGCUUACUUGUUUCAGGAGAGCUGCAGAGGGAUGUGAAUGCAUUUUCCUUGACAGUUCACUCAGUGAUAAGAGCUUCGAAAGCAUUCAAAAAUGUAAUCCCCUGAGUGAUGAACUGAUUGCUGAAUGCCUGGGGGAAACUGGGAAUCUGCAGGUUUUGAUGUGACUAGACAGCAGUAGUUCCUUCGAAUGAUCCACAUGAAUAUGACUGGAACAUGUUGAAUGAUGCCAUCUUGUGAUUCUACCAGAGCACUUGAAGAGAUAACAGCUGCUUGUUGCAUUUCCUGCACAGGUCAGCCUAGUAUUAUUCUAACCGUUACACAACUUUUCAAACACAUCUUCCAAUAUUUACUGCGUGCUAUAGUAAAACGUUCUGUUACUUCUUGGUCAAAAAUCUCAUUAUCAUUAGGCUUGGUUUACUUCAAGGCACAUUCUCAUAUUUUACACUCUCCUCUCGAAAGUAACAAUUCCUUACAUUCUGAGUGCAACUUGCAGUAAUCGGUACGGGAGGAAAUUAUCAUGCUGAAUCUCGAAACUUCUUUCUUCUGCCAUUAGUACUGCAAACAUCAUUAUUUGUAUUUCAUCUCUGCAAGCGUGCGUCAGCACAAAUGAACAUUCUCUAUGACAAAUCUUAUGCUUCUCAAAGUGACAUUCCAUCGAUUAUUAGGCACGCCUCCCCCGUUGUUCAGACCAAUUUCGGGAGGGUAAUUCUUUUGGCUGGUAUGUUUCCAGAAUUGCGACACACAAACCUUCUUUGAGCAGUUUCUAGAGCAGAGAUCAGUAUCCUGUAAAUCCCCAUUUCAUAUACACGAAUUCGGCAAUACAUGAUUCAAUUAAAUGCGGAGACAGAAUAGUUGUGAAUGCGAAAUUUGGAUCUGCAAGAGGAAUUUUUCCAAUCCUCCUAGAUAUAAACUUUGGGAGACUCCGUCUUUCGACAUCCAACUACGUCACUGUCACUCCAGAAAUCAGAUACCUUAAGGAACCACAUCCAAAAAUUAAGCUAAGACUAAAUAAAAUUCUGCAUUAUCUGAACGAAUGUGAAGUGUCACGGCUUCCAAAGCUAUCUUGGUGCAAUUCAGUGUGACCUUACUCUGAAAACAGCAUUGAGGAGGUCCCAAAAAAGUUCUGGCAAACUAACUCUCUUAAAUGGUGCAAUUUUUCCAUCAGUAAAAAUUGGACUGGACAACUUACAGCAGAAAAAUGAACCGGUGUUUCUAUGUCAAAAUCUCAGUUCUCCAGUGCUAAGGGAACAAAAUGAAGUGACAGUAAUCCUCUACCCAAUGAUUCUAAGUUUGAAAAUUCGUAUGACGUGCUCCAUGAAAAGCAUUUGG
rnacentral:lncRNA from 1 species